GGCUUAAAUCCAACGCCUUAGACCAACUCGGCCACGGAUACGAACGUGCGGCAUGGAACUCGAGUGAUGA
rnacentral:tRNA from 1 species